rnacentral:rRNA from 1 species
ACCUACCGGGGGCAGCAGUGGGGAAUAUUGCACAAUGGGGGAAACCCUGAUGCAGCGACGCCGCGUGAGCGAAGAAGUAUUUCGGUAUGUAAAGCUCUAUCAGCAGGGAAGAAAAAUGACGGUACCUGAGUAAGAAGCACCGGCUGAAUACGUGCCAGCAGCCGCGGUAAUACGUAGGGGGCGAGCGUUAUCCGGAUUUACUGGGUGUAAAGGGAGCGUAGACGGUUCUGCAAGUCUGAAGUGAAAGCCCGUGGCUUAACCGCGGAACGGCUUUGGAAACGGUGG